CCACGGAUCCAAAGCCCAAACGGGCUACAUCUUUACUUAUUUUUGGAUGAAUAUUUUACAUCAAUAAGUACCUCAUUAUAUAGAGGAAAUCACACAAUUACAAGAGACAAAUAUAGUAUAAUUCGUGAAGACAAACUUGGAUUGAAAUAUAAAUGGACUCUCAGGUUGGGUUUCCGGUCCUUAAUCUUGAAAAUGGAUUAUCUAAUUUAUACUAUUUUAAAAUUACCUAUAAAUAUCUCAAAAAUCAAGGCAGAUACAUUAAAAAAUAAGCACACAAUUCAAUAUGAUUUUAAAAAUUUAUUUUAAAUUUUCCGAUGGACCAAUAUUGUAGAAAAGUAACCACCAUAUAUGAUAUUUUGGAUUCUCAAUUUUCCUUAAGACAACAGCAAAACAAAUUCCAAUAGUUCACAUAAAAAAUCCAGUACUAAACUAUCAUUUAUAGCAACAAACUUGAGUUUUGUGGGUUAAAC
rnacentral:lncRNA from 1 species